UCCAGACGGACGGGCAGCAGGACGGGAUGUUCCAGCUCCUCACACAGGAGGCAGCCACAGCCAGAUCAGAGACACAAAUAUUUACUGAGGCCAGGGGCCUCCCAGACAUGCUGGCAGAGCUGGGGAAGCCAAUGUAUGGGGCCUCUCCCUCUGGGUUCAGGGAACCCAGGGGAGGGAGAAGCCCCUGGAAGAGGUCUCGCCGAACUCAGUCUUUUUGUCACACCCUCACACCAGGCACCAGGCACCUUCUCGGCCAUGGGACAGAAUGGGGAUCUGACCCCCACUUUGCAGGUCUUGCCGACCCCUCGCCCCGCAGCAGCGGAGGAAGGACCACCCGGUAGAAGCCGCGCUCCCCCUCCCCCGGACUUGUGGGACGUCGGUCGAAUCGAUCCACCCUCGGGGGCCGACGGAGGGGAGAAAAAGCUCCUGCCUGCCUCCCUCACAGCGAGGCUGUGCCGGAGCUUUGGAAGGAGGGAGAUUUCCAUCUCUAAGCCCGAACGGUGCGUGUGAAGAGCUUGCCUGAGGAGGUGGCCAGCGCGGCAGCUGGGGGACGUUCAGGCACAGGCUGGACCAGGUUCCGUCAGGAAGGCAGCGGGGAGAUGCCGGUCGGAUCUCCAGGGCCCGCGGUCCCCGUGGCGGUCAUUUGGAGAUUCUAGCACGCUAGACCUGAGCUGUCCAACCUGGUAGCCACCAGACACACAAAGCGUUUGAGCCCUUGAAAGGCGGCUAGUCGGAAUUGAUGUAUGCACUGAGCAUGAAAUAAGAAUUUCCAAAACUUAGCAUGAAGCAAAAGAAUGUGAACUAUCAAAUAAUUUUGUAUAUUGAUGACAUGUUGAAAUGAAAAUAUUUUGGAUAAACUGGGUUAAGUGAAAUAUACUAUUAAAUAAUUUCAUUUGUUUCUUUUUACUUUUUAAAAUGGCUACUAGAAUGUCUAAAAUAACCUGUGUGGCUCUUAUAUUUUUAUUGGACAAUACUGCUAAAUGUCCAGUGACUUUGUACCUUUGGGUGUGUUUGUACCAGGUAACAUCAACAG
rnacentral:lncRNA from 1 species